GGUUAUCGGAAAGCCUUGGUGUUUUUCAUCAUUUAGUUUAAAUCAACGCAUUUGAGUGGUGUCCACUGCACCGUGUUGUUUCUCGACAGAUUAAUUGUUUGAAAAUGUCUGGCAGAGAAGGUGGAAAAAAGAAACCUCUGAAAAACCCAAAGAAACAAUCAAAAGAUCUAGAUGAUGACGAAAUGGCAUUCAAACAAAAACAGAGGGAGGAGCAAAAAGCAAUGAAAGAAAUGCAGGCCAAGGCAUCAGGAAAAGGCCCUCUAACAACAGGAGGUAUUAAAAAGUCUGGGAAGAAAUGACAGGACACAGAACAUACGAACCUAAAGAUCCUCCACAGUAACUCGCAACAUUCUCUUUGUCUGGUGCUGGUGAAAUGAUUGGUGAAACAAAACUUUUUAUAAUGUUUAUGGUAUUUCUAUGAGACAUAAAAUUUCAUUAUGUGCAGCUGUUCUUAGAGUUGGCCAUUGAAAUUACUCUGAAUUUGGAUUUUAUUCACAUUUAUUUUCCAAUUUUAAUAUAUGUUUAAAAUUUAAACAAUUGUGAGGAUGAUGAAAGGUUUGUCUUUGAAUAGAACAUUUUUUUGUAAGAAUUGAUAUUUCCAUUGUCUCUUUUGUACAAAUGUUGUUAAGAAAAUUAUUUCUAUAAUGUAAGAUCCAUUUAAUAAGUUGUAAUUAUGAAAAUUAAGUGACAUUGACAGGUUGUUCAUUUUUAGAUGUUUACUUGUGUCUCAGGCUCUUUAAGUAAAUAAUUUUUUCAAAAUAUGUACAUACAUUGUCAAUUUUUUUUAAAAAAUAUUUUUUGGUGCAAUUUAGAGAUUCUUAUGUGUUCAUUGGAAAUUGUUGCCUUGUAAAUGUUUUCCUCUGAGUCAAACAAUGUAUUAAACCUUGGCAUUUUUUUUUAAAUAAAGAGACAAAACAUA